UACGAAGGGGGCUAGCGUUGUUCGGAAUUACUGGGCGUAAAGCGCGUGUAGGCGGGCUUUUAAGUCAGGGGUGAAAUGCCAAGGCUCAACCUUGGAACUGCCUUUGAUACUGGAAGUCUUGAGUCCGGGAGAGGUGAGUGGAACUGCGAGUGUAGAGGUGAAAUUCGUAGAUAUUCGCAAGAACACCAGUGGCGAAGGCGGCUCACUGGCCCGGAACUGACGCUGAGAUGCGAAAGCGUGGGUAGCGAACAGG
rnacentral:rRNA from 1 species